rnacentral:lncRNA from 1 species
GUUAGUGUGACUUUCACGAGGUCACAGAGCUAUUUUAGUCACAAAGCCAGCACAACAAAGCCAGCACAAGAACCUUACUCCAUCCCCUGAUGCCUCCUCUACCACUUCUCGAUGUCCAUCCCAGCAGCCUCAGUUACAACUGGCUUCCUGAAGAAAGUUUUCAAAAACGUUAUGUAUUAGUCAUUGAACCCUAGACUACGCUAAAAGGUUCUUGGCCUUUGUAGAAGGGGAUGGUUCAUUGUUGUCCCACUGCCUGGUAACAACUCAAGUGACAGAGCCUGGAAAUGGGACCCAGAAGUAUACUGUAAGAGAAGACACCACACCCAGAAGAGGGUGGCAACCCCAGCUUCUUGUACUCCAGUUGGGGGAUUUGAACUUUUUGCAUUCAUGCAAUGCAAGGAAGCAUCUUAUUUAUCACCCUUGAAAUUGCCAUUUGGAGAAAGCAUCUUAAAAGACCACCUGAGCAGUUUUUUAGAGUCAGUGUAUUAGUCCAUUCUCACACUGCUAAUAAAGACAUACCUAAGACUGGGUAAUUUAUAAAGGCAAGAGGUUUAAUUGACUCUUGGUUCCACAUUGUUGUGGAGGCCUCGGGAAACUUAAAAUCACUGCAGAAGGCACCUCUUCACAAGGUGGCAGGAUAGAGAAUGAGUGCCCAGUGAAGGAGGAAGACUCUUAUAAAACCAUCAGAUCUUAUGAGAACUCACUAUCACGAGAAGAGGAUGGGGAAUACCACCCCCAUGAUUCC